rnacentral:sRNA from 1 species
CAAUCAAACUGCUACAAGACAACACCCUGAUCUGGCAUGGACAUUCUCAAUACCUUCACAGAUGUGAAGAACUAGCAACAAAAUGACUUAGACAGCAACGUGAUUCCUAGAGAAUGGCAAGACCAAUUCUUCAACUACUUCUUCAGCAUUUCUGAAACAGUUGGAAGAUGGCCCAUAGUGCUCUCUUAAUUCUUUGAUAAUUUGGACAUUGACCUUUCCAUUAUAUGACCUGGGCUUGUGGGCAUCAUGUCGUAAUGUGCCUGUUCAGACAUCUCCCUGUACCAAUAUGGAUCACUUGAAGAGACUCCUUUGCCUCCAUCAAAAAGGAUACAGUUGUGUAUCUCUUUCAUUUUUGUUUACAGUGCCUAAAAUUAUUUGAGCAGUUUUUCACCUCUUCUCUGAUAAACACCUUAUUAGUCCUUAAAAAGAAAAGAAAAAAGGAAAAUAAAACUUUUAUUGAGAUCCUAA